GAAACGGCUCCCUGAGAGGUAUCUCCAGCCUGGAGGGAUGAUAUGGGAGGAGGUGACUUAGGGUCAUAACAGAGCACAUACAUAGGACUGGGCCUAAGGCCUUCUGGAAGUUGUUUUACUUUCAUUCACGGAGAAUUCGGAGCCCUGCAUCACCUGCUUGGCAAGAGGGUCAAAGACGCAGCACACAGCAUAAGCCCAGAGAAACCUUGAGUUUGAGAAGAGACUGAAGGUCAACGGUAAUGUGAGGAACCCUAAGAUGUGACUGCUUUGGGGAAAAUUCACACUCCGUUAACUGAGCCUCUACAAUAGGUACCUCCCAGACCCUGGAUGGCUAAGAACAACCUGAAAGCCACACGCCCGGGAGCCCCGGGUCCAUUCUUAGAACAAGUAAGCACCAGAACGAUGUUCAGUGGGAUACCUAACAGAAGGGCACGAAGAACCACUUGUGAGAACUGAGACUGCAUUUGCUGACCAGACACUUCUGAAAGCCCUGUUCACUAGGUGACCCAGUGCCCCAAGUGGAGACCCACGUGAGAAAUUUCUUCUAGUGCUAAAUGGCAUGAAUUGCUUUGCUUUCUCAGAUCAACUGUUGUGUUUUCUCUUCUUCAAUAAUAAGAACCAAGAAAUUAUCUGCCUCCAUUGUUUAUUUGGCUAUUCCCCACCCAUCUUCUUAUCCAAAAAGUAUUUAAAGCAGUAGGUUUGCUAUGUAACCAGCCAAGUCUCCCCUCUCACUUUGCACACCGGAAAAUUCAAAGCCAUCUGUGUAUUACUUAGGAUCUAUAGAUCUGCUUUAAAAAAAAAAAACAACCAAAAAUUUCCCAUACUAAUUUAUGUUUUUUUGAUUUUUAAUUUAUGUUGAUUUAUUUAACAAGUACUUAUCAAGUACCUACACUUUAAAACAAUAUCCACAGCAAAUUGGUCUGCAUGAGUACUAUUACUCUAUCUCUAUGAGAAUUAUUAAAAAUUUGAUGAAAAUUAAUUUUGAUAAAAAUUGUGUAUAUUUAUUUUUAUUUUCCUCUAACCUUGGGUUAUGAACAUUUUCAAACAUUUGAAAAAGUUCAACGAAUGAUACAAUAA